CUACUCUUGACAUCCAGAGAAUUCGCUAGAGAUAGCUUAGUGCCUUCGGGAACUCUGAGACAGGUGCUGCAUGGCUGUCGUCAGCUCGUGUUGUGAAAUGUUGGGUUAAGUCCCGCAACGAGCGCAACCCUCGCCCUUAGUUGCCAGCAUUCAGUAGGGCACUCUAAGGGGACUGCCGGUGAUAAGCCGAGAGGAAGGUGGGGAUGACGUCAAGUCCUCAUGGCCCUUACGGGCUGGGCUACACACGUGCUACAAUGGUGGUGACAGUGGGCAGCGAGACCGCGAGGUCGAGCUAAUCUCCAAAAGCCAUCUCAGUUCGGAUUGCACUCUGCAACUCGAGUGCAUGAGGUUGGAAUCGCUAGUAAUCGCGGAUCAGCACGCCGCGGUGAAUACGUUCCC
rnacentral:rRNA from 1 species